AAUAAGUAUAUAUUUUAUAUCUCAAGAUCAAAUAUCAAACAAAUAUCUCUUUUUUUCUUUAAAUUUUUGUGUCAAGUGAGUUAUUAGAUGUUAUGAAAAUAAUAACAGUGUAUUUUAUUUUAGUAGGAAACACUGACAAUCCCUCAUUUUUUUUAAUUAACUUUGCUUCUUUCUUUAUAUUCGAAUGAUUUACAAUUUUACAUACAUAUUCAUUUACAAAGUGGUGAUCUGGUGCCCAAAGUCACAUCAUGUAUACAAAUGCAAAUCAACGCAAAAAUAAAUUAAAUUUGUCAAAUCACCUUUCUUAGAGUUAAAAAGUGCUUUUGCUUUUCUUUAACAUUCAGCUCAUUUGAUAUAGUAAUUGUGAUGAAAUUUGUAUGAGUUGAUGUGCUUAAUUAGGCAUGCACUAUAUAUUAAUUAAUUGAUAAUCGAUAUAUGGGCUUAGGUCUUAAUUGGUAUUGAGGUGCUGUAAUUUUUAAAUUAUAGUUACUAUGAAAAGAACU
rnacentral:lncRNA from 1 species